AUGUCACCUGAGAGUCAAUGGGCAACGAUCAAAUUUCACCUUGAGCAGAUUCUUUUGUUUGCUUUUUAGUCACAAAUAGCUUGGCCCUAAGUGGUGGCUCCCAUUCUUGUAAGAUGCGUUUAUUCAUCGUGUAAUCACCAGUUCCCUGUAGUGGGGGCGUGGAUGGAGUGUCAGAGGCUCCUGCUGGUCUUUAGGGUGUCUGGCCUCCAGGAAUCCUAGAGGUAGUAUUUGGAGAGAUUUUUAAAAGCUUUGUUUCUGUGACCAGCAAAACCUGGAUUUGACACUGAGGUCAGCCCGUUUCAGCCAGUGACGUAACCUGUCUUUUUGCCCCAGUAAAUUGGGAACUACAGCACUCGAUGUUAGAGUUGUCGUGAAGAUUAAAGAAGGUGACGACUGGACAACUCCCAGCCCAAUACCUGAAACUGUACCAGCACCCAGUGAGCACUGCUAUUCCUGUGACUGCUGCACAUUUGCCUUAUCUCAGCAGUAUGCCUGUGUCACUUUUUUGGCACUCUUUUCUCAUGGGUACAUUCAGAGAAGAGGAAUGUUUGUUCACUGGUGAAGAGAACAUCCCGUGUACUAUCGUGUAGAAGUUGUAGUAGACGCUGUGGUCUUUCCAACAACAAACAAAAAAAAGGAAAAAAAAAGUGAAUUUCUUGCCCAGAUCUGCAACAACUUCUAAGAUCUGACCUGUAGCCACCCACACCUGGAAGCUCCAGCCUUGCCUCUCCCCAGUUCACCCAGUAAGCGCUGGACACGGGGCUGAGCUGGGACUUCGAUGCUUACUCUGCCUGGAAACCUCCUUUCUCUCUCCCCACUUCUGAGGCUCCGCUCAGGUGCUGUUUUACCUGAAACCCUCCAGGCUGUUCUCUCUGGAAAUGCCUCUCUCUUCUGCCCUUUAUCUUCCACCUGAAUGGGAGGAUGUCUCAUUCCUAACACUCAGGACAGGUCUUCAUAGCGUUUAUCCUGCUUUGUCAUCUGCAUGCCCCACAGGGCUGAGAGCUCCAAGGAGCUGUGAAUCACACCUCCGACUCCCCCCAGGGUACAGGAACGGGGUUCAGAAUGCUCUUCCCAAAGCUGCUGGGACAGGACCCAGGAGGUUCCGGAGGAUCAGGAGGUCCACCUGGGAGAAGAGCUGAUCGGCUAGUAGGAGAGCUGGAAAAGCAACAGACACCUACUUAGUCCCUUCCCUGGGGCCCGGCUCCAGUCUGAGCUGUCACGCCACAGCAAAGGCAUCACUUCAGGACAGCAAAGCCCCUGUCUCCCUCCCUUCCAGCUCCUCAGACUUCACCCUGGUAACACGUUUGUUUAAAAAACAUAUUUUUCCCCCUUGUAAAGAAUCUAGGAUACAAGGGGUCAGCCCAGCAGUUUAGGUAUCAAGAAGAAACUGCUCUCGGAGCUAAAGUAAGAAACAGUGCCUGUCUAUAGCGCAAAUAAAGAGUUGGAACAAGAUAAAA
rnacentral:lncRNA from 1 species